GUCUCAACUCAGGGACGUU
rnacentral:siRNA from 1 species